GGCCUCCUAGGUGUAGUGGUCAGCACGCGUCCCCGGCGAGGUGAAGCGCGGGUUCAACCCCGUCGGAGGUUC